UGUGUGUAGAAAAAGACAGUAGUAGUAGUAGUAGAGAGUAAACGUGUGCAGGGAAAAGAGAGGACAGAGUGAAACAGUUAGACGGGUAGGGUUAACUUACUACGAACUUCACCGUUAUCUGAAGGUUUGAGUACGUACUUUGACUCCGCUCAUUCACGCGUCUGUACGUCUAGGACAGAAAGCGAGUGAAACUGCGUAUCCUCACUAUUUUCCCCCCCGUUGUUUUGCACUUUGCGCCCGCGUCUAAUGGAGGGCCCCGUGCGGAUCUGCCAUCAAGAGAAUGCGUUUCACUGCUAGUGUGUCCGGCUGCCAGCAGCUUUUGCCCUCCUGUAAAAGGUGUGCAGUGUGUGUGGAGGGGGUGUGUGUGAGGCCCCAGGUUAGUGCACAGAGGUGAAACAGCGUCAUGGAGGACAGUGGCCUGAGAUUAUUGUCCGCUGUGCUGUGCGUCUGUCAUACCCUGCUCCUCAACUGCCCAUCUGUCCUGUCGCUCUCUUUUCGUGUGGAGCCUCUCUCUGUGGUCCAGAAGCAGGGCAGUGCGGUCCACCUGGGC